rfam:Gossypium raimondii Chr04_contig_863, whole genome shotgun sequence.
CACGUCAGUGCGAGUUGCUGACGUGGCAACAAAUUGCGCCCUCUAGGACGCGAUUUGCUACCACAUCAGCAACUCACGCUGACGUGG